GGAAAGAAGUCCUGAAGAAACUGAAAAAUAGAGGGGAGAAAUUGCACGAAUAUUUCAACGUCGUCUUCUCCGCAACUCUAAAACUGCAACCUAUAAUAAGUGGAGGAAGAGCGAGGAGAGGAAUAGAGGCAGUCAAAGAGUGGUGGCUAGCAAGCUGGUAUUCUGUCAAUCGAUCAAGAAAUCGGAAGAACCCCAAUUCCCUCCGUGGCUUCGCCCGAUUCCCCUCUCCAAGACCCGUGUCGAUUCCCCAACCAGCACCCGCGGCCUGAGAUGAGACGUUCGAGUGGAAGCAGCAGAUUGGUGAGGCCAAGGCGAAUCCAGCAGCUACACGGCGGAGGCAACAGGCACUUGAAAGGGAAGAUACCGUUAAAGAGAAAAUAAUAUUGGCGCAAGAGAAAAACAUUCAGCAGCUUAAUGUGC